rnacentral:rRNA from 1 species
GAUGAACGCUGGCGGCGUGCCUAAUACAUGCAAGUCGAGCGAACAGAUGAGGAGCUUGCUCCUCUGACGUUAGCGGCGGACGGGUGAGUAACACGUGGAUAACCUACCUAUAAGACUGGGAUAACUUCGGGAAACCGGAGCUAAUACCGGAUAAUAUAUUGAACCGCAUGGUUCAAUAGUGAAAGACGGUUUUGCUGUCACUUAUAGAUGGAUCCGCGCCGCAUUAGCUAGUUGGUAAGGUAAUGGCUUACCAAGGCAACGAUGCGUAGCCGACCUGAGAGGGUGAUCGGCCACACUGGAACUGAGACACGGUCCAGACUCCUACGGGAGGCAGCAGUAGGGAAUCUUCCGCAAUGGGCGAAAGCCUGACGGAGCAAAGCCACGUGAGUGAUGAAGGUCUUCGGAUCGUAAAACUCUGUUAUUAGGGAAGAACAAAUGUGUAAGUAACUAUGCACGUCUUGACGGUACCUAAUCAGAAAGCCACGGCUAACUACGUG